AGGCCACCAAAAGAACCGUGGGACCACCCUUUGAGAGUGAUUCAUUCACAGCGCCAGUCAUUGGGAUUAACCCAAUAUCGAUUCCCGGCAUAUCUAGCUUACCUCGGAGUGACGGACUUGCAGGACCAGCCACCGGGACUGAUUCUCUUAUGAUUCCUGGCAUUCCCCAGAUACCUACGGAUGAUGGACCUACAGG